rnacentral:rRNA from 1 species
GCGCAGCAGGCGAGAAUCCUCCGCAAUACACGAAAGUGUGACGGGGUUACCCAAAGUGUCCAAAUUUGGACUGUGGUAGGUGAGUAAUGUCCCCUACUAGAAAGGAGAGGGCAAGGCUGGUGCCAGCCGCCGCGGUAAACCAGCUCUUCAAGUGGUCGGGAUAAUUAUUGGGCUUAAAAGUGUCCGUAGCCGGUUUAGUAAGUUCCUGGUAAAAUCGGGUAGCUUAACUAUCUGUAUGCUAGGAAUACUGCUAUACUAGAGGGCGGGAGAGGUCCUGAGGUACUACAGGGGUAGGGGUGAAAUCCUGUAAUCCUUGUAGGACCACCAGUGGCGAAGGCGUCAGACUGGAACGCGCCUGACGGUGAGGGACGAAAGCCAGGGGAGCGAACCGGAUUAGAUACCCCGG